UACAGAGGGUGCAAGCGUUGUUCGGAAUUACUGGGCGUAAAGAGCUUGUAGGCGGUUUGUCGCGUCUGCUGUGAAAAUCCGGGGCUCAACCCCGGACUUGCAGUGGGUACGGGCAGACUAGAGUGUGGUAGGGGAGACUGGAAUUCCUGGUGUAGCGGUGGAAUGCGCAGAUAUCAGGAGGAACACCGAUGGCGAAGGCAGGUCUCUGGGCCACUACUGACGCUGAGAAGCGAAAGCAUGGGGAGCGAACAGG
rnacentral:rRNA from 1 species